rfam:Schistosoma mansoni strain Puerto Rico chromosome W, complete genome
AGCUUUCUGAAUCCGUGCAGAGAUUUCACCAAACACCAACCCAUUAGGGCUGAUCAGACUCCUAAGAUAAGUGAAGUU